rnacentral:rRNA from 1 species
GACAGAGGGUGCAAACGUUGUUCGGAAUUACUGGGCGUAAAGCGCGUGUAGGCGGCCCGGAAAGUCGGAUGUGAAAGCCCUGGGCUUAACCCAGGAAGUGCAUUCGAAACUCCCGGGCUUGAGUUCUGGAGAGGAAGGCGGAAUUCUCGGUGUAGAGGUGAAAUGCGUAGAUAUCAGGAGGAACACCGGUGGCGAAGGCGGCUAUCUGGACAGAAACUGACGCUGAGGCGCGAAAGCUAGGGGAGCAAACAGG